ensembl:lncRNA
AAUGCAGAGCACUAUUUGUCUUGGACUCAAUGACUGUGUGCUUCUGAUUGGAUUAAACGUUUUGGGACAGGUACCAGGUUAUUUGUCAAUGAUGAUGCUGUGCGUCAACCUACGGUGAGCGUCUACUCCAGCACCAAAUCUCAAAAAGAGAACACCUUUCUGUGCCAUGCCAGUAAUAUGUUCCCAGACUUGGUCAGAUUCCACUGGAAAGUGUUCAAAGCUGGAAAGUGGGAAAACGUGGUGAAGAAUGACCGCGAGGUGCUGGAGACCAGCUUCUCAGACAAGACAAACACCAGCAUCAUGAUUAUUGACAAGCAGAAGGCCGGUGGCAACCGAUACGCCUGCUCCUACACACACGAAGCCCUCAGGGAAGGAAAAGAGAGCAAGCCUCUGGAGAUAGAGGGAAAGAAAGGAGGACAAACUGAGCCGGUGACAAAACCUCAAGCAAAAACCUUCAAUGUCACAGUCUGCUCAACACCCAACGACACAGCUAUCUCCACGUUACACCAACUAGAUGAGUACUUUGGAGCCGCACGCAGUCUGUAUCUGGCAACAUGGGUGUACACCCUUAUGAUUUUUAAAAGCACGGUGUACUUCUGCGCCAUCUCCUACUUCAUAUGCACAAAGAACAUGAGAAGCAAGCGCUCCCUCAACCGUAGAGCUCCCUGAUACAGCGUGCUGUGGAGCUGAGUGAUGUGCUUAUUCUACAUGCCAUUCUUUGUGACGCUUGUGCCAGGUCAAACUUGGGCGCCGAUCUUUAUCUGAUUCUCCCUUUUCAGCAAAUACUAUUUUCAAAAUGUCUCAAUACAUAUCAGUAUCUAUGCACAUUAUUUCCUCUUUAUUUUCCACCUAUGUUUUUUUUUUUUUUUGUUAUGCUUGAUUACUUUGUUAUGUUUUAAGAUGCACAUAGCAUGAUUUUGUCCUGCUGUAUUUUAUUACUGUCUUAUCUAUAACUUAACAUAUACUGUGUAUUUUCCAUGGCAACUUCUAUUUCAAUUUCCCAAUCAUAGUUUUUUAGAAACAAAUUAUUCUUGUGCUAUGUACUUUUAUUACCAUAGCAAAUAAAGAUUAGGCAAUAUAAGAUUACAUUAAACUGGUUUACAAAUUAUACAAAUUAUUUAAUCACCUGGGUAUAACUAGUAUGUAAUUGUAAUGUAAAUUAUAAAAUGCUGAGUUAUUCAUUCAGACGAUCAUAGGUAAUGUGUUUCAACAAACAGCACAUUUUCAAUACUUGACAUUGCUAAUUUCCUUUAAUAUAAUUAUGAAAGAAACAUUGGUUAUUAAGAACUUGAUAUCAGGACAUUUGUUAAAAAUACUGCAGGUAUUUAAUUAUAUAAAAAAAAAAUGUAGACUGCAGUAUUACAACUUUGACUGUUGAAAUGGAUUGUGGGUACUGUGUUUUGAAUAAAUAAAUAAAUAUAUAUUUGUAUGCGUACUUCCAAAUAAAUAUUUCUUUAAAGACCA